rnacentral:lncRNA from 1 species
UUUUGUUUUGUUUGAACAUUUCAAACCCAAGAUGAAUUUUUCUUAAAAAAUGAUUAUGUGAAUGUUGCAAUUUAAUCUUAAACCAUGUAUGAAGUAUGAUAUUUUGUUGUUACAACCUCCCCUCAAAUUCAACAUAUUAUAUAUCACAUAACAUUUAAUUACAAAUGAAAUUAUGAUAAUAAAAUUAAAUUUCACAAUUGUACGUAUUUAUUAAAACAAAUUACCACAAACAAGUCGCAUAUUUAUUAAGAAGCAACACGAUCAAAUCAUGAAUUUGAUAAAUAUAAAUACUAAAAUUAGAAAUCUUGAAAUGAAUAUAAACAAAGCUAAAUUAGAAUGAAUUGUCUUGUUCAACUUACGUGAAUAAUGAUUAAUGAUAGACAUGAUUCAUCAUGAUUCAUUAUAUGAACUUUCACACCAUAAUUAGCAAACUCUAUAUCAUUAUGUUUUACUUAUUUAAUCAAAGAGAUCUGUUCCAAUAAAAUAUAAUAUUAUUUAAGACUUAAUUUUCAUAUUCAAUUAUUAAUUUCUGUUAAACAAAAGAUCCAAGAGUAUAUCUUGAUGAUGUGGAAUAUUAGUUACUAAUUUGGAAGCACAUAAUAUUGGACCCAAAGGCAUGUGCAGAUGGGAUAUAUAUAAAGAAAAAGAGGGCAUAAAUUAUUGCAACAAUGACAGUGUCAACUUUCAAGCUUAUGUUGCCAAACUUCAUCCCCUGCCUUACCUUAUUAGCUGUCUUUCUCAUUUGAACCAAAUCUUUUUUCUUCUUCUUCUUCUUUCAUCCCUUUUUUCUUUUUCCAUUUUUCUCUUCUCACACACAGCUGUAUCCAAUGCAUGUUUAAGGAAAUUAGAUGGAAUUAGUGGUACAUUUUCCCACUUUCAUUUUGUUUUAUUUGAAAAGAAAAUUAAUUUUGUAUAUUUUCAGCUUUCUAAAGAAGCCAACAUUAUUCUUGCUUCCAUAUUUUUCUCCCCAUCCUUUUUAAGAAGGCCAAACUAGACCAUUCAUCUCAUUUUCAAUUCUAUUCUUUCUCAAAAGAGGUAUUUCUUAUAAAUCUAUAAGUGAUUUUUUCUUCUUCUUAUUCUUUAAAAUAGAAAGUGGGUUCAAUCAACAAAAAUGACGAAUGUGAAAGUACUGAAACCUUUUCUAAACACUAGUAUAAAGGAAGGGUUAUAUAUUCAUACAUGAUGACUUCACGUUAUUUGCAAAAGAAGAAAGAGGGCAAAGCGCACAUAGAUUUCUUGGGAAGGUGAAGUGUUAGUCCAAUACUUGGGUGAGCCCAACUUUAGUUGGAUCUUUUGUUUCUCCUUGAAAGUAUGGGCCUGCUUCUGUAGACUGUGGCCCAUAUCUAUUUCCUUUAGUUUGUUAAAUAGAAUGGGCCUAUAAGAAACAUUGGUUUUUCUAUCAGGGCCUUUGUUUUUACCCCCUUUCAUAGUUUCAUGUAUCUAUUUCUUUUACACAUACAAAAAAAUAAAAUAAAAAUAAAUUUUGUUAAAAUAAAAAAUAUUACCUCUAGACUACAUUGUGUCAAAAAGAAAAAGAAAAAAAAAUCUGUAUAUAAAAAUAGGUCUAGCCUCUAGAGAACAGCCAAGUUAAAAAAGGACUUCUAAUCUUUUAGCUGUACGGGAAAAAGUGGUAGAAUGAAGGAUUUAGCUUUUUUAUAAUGGGUACAAAAAAGAAGUGGUCUAAAAUUCUAACCUUGUUGCUCAUCUUCGGAAAGGAGGCUUUGGUGGCAUGUGAGUAGGUCCAAUGGAAGAUCCAUUCAAGCUUUUGUGUUAAAUUUGUAUGUCAUCAUUUUAAAUAUAUUUUUAAUCACUCAAAAUUAAUUUUAUAUACAAUUAAAUAAAACGUUCGGAUAUCGUACAAUUGUACCAAUGACCAUUUUGUGUGCUCAUGGUAAAUGAGGAGGUAGCAAGAAGGAGAGGAGAGGGAUUGUCGAGGAACAGGGAGUAGUUGGGCGUUUUGUCAUUUUAUUGGCACACAACAUAGUGGUUUCGAAGUGUGAAUUUAGAACCAUUUAUCAUACCCAACACUUCCCUUUUUUCCUCUUAGUUUUGGCUCACUCACUCACGGGCCUUCAUAAUUCUAACCUCAAUAACUCACACCACCACCAAAUCAUUUUUACCCUCUUCUUUCCUCUACUUUUUUCUUCUUCAAGUAAUUCAAAACAAAACUAAUAACUAAAUGAUUUGUCUCUUUUUAAUCAAAGUUGUUAAAAAAAUACUUUUCAUUUCUAAAACUUUUACAAAAAUAACCAUCUCAUUUUUUAAUUUUUGUUUGUAAUAAUUUAAUCUAUAUUUUUAAUUUUGUAACCAUAGUCUCCAAUUUUAUUACCGCAGUCUAAUUUGAAUUGAUCUUCAUUUCUAAAUUUAGAGAAAACUCUUGAAACAAUAAAAAAUUAAUAAUCAAAAUGAUGAUAUUCUAAAGCUUUCAAUUAGAAUUGUAAAGUGCCCCUAAUCAUGGUUGUAUAAAAAAAGAAGAGUUGAAUAUUUAAAAAUGGCAAAUUUUACAAAAUAUUUACAACAUAUAGCAAAUUAUAUCACUAAUAGUUAUUGAUAUAUUAUAGUGAUAGAAAUUAUAUCACGGAUAGUCAUUAAUAUGUUAUAGUGAUGAAAGACUAUUAGUGAUAGAAUCCAAAAUUUUACUAUAACUUGUAAUUAUUUUUAUUAUUUUUACUAUUUUUAGAAAAUGUCCUAAAUAAUAAUAAUAAUAAAAGAGAAAGUAACCAAUGAAUAAUUAAAACUAAAAUAAAAUAUAAAAACAUUUUUUAAAAUAACAAAAGUAAAUUAAAAUAUUUAAAAGGUGUAACAAAAUUUUGGGAGCCUAAAAUUUUGCAUUGUAAAAGAUACAAAUUAAUUUAAAGUAACAAUUAAACUAAACAAAAGAGAGUAAUUAUCAAAGAAUUGUGGAAGUGUAAAUGUAAAGAAUUGUUGAGAGACAGGAAAAUGAUUGGGCAGAUUAUGGUGGAUAUGCACCCUUCUCAAGGUGAUACCAAAUGCUUUUUUGAUCUUUUUCUAUGCCUCAUUCAAUCUGUUUCUUUUUUCUUCUUCUUUCUUUUUCCCCUCUCUGUAUAAAGCUGGUGGGUAGAUCCAUGUCCAUAUUUUGAAGAUCUUAUCCAUGGACCAUUUUUAGAUAUAUUCAAUGGAAAAUAUAUUUCAAUUUUACAUAUUCUAAUUACCCUAAAUUUUAUUUUCAAUAUAUAAAAUAUAAAGUAUCAAUUAAUAUAAUUAUAAUGGACGUUUGAUUAAUUUAAUUACAAUGAAACAAUGAUUAGAGAUUUUGUCAACCACAUAUAUAAAUUGAGGGUGAAAAACAUUAUUAUAGAGUACUAAAUGUGUAUAUGCAUGUGACAUUGUGUGGGCCUUUUUAAUUUGUUCCCAUAUUGAAGGAGUAGCAUCUCUUUCUUGGACCCUCAACCCCCACAUCAAAUAGACCAUUCAUUACUUUUCCUUUGCUUCUCCUCAAACACCAAAAACUAAUUUAUGGUAUUCUUCAAGAUUAUGGGCUAGUUUCUUUUCCCCUUAGAAUUUGAUUUUUAUUUCACACAACAAAACUUGGUUUUUAUUACCCAUGCAUUGCAUGUCCUACAAAAUCCAAAAUUUUGAAGAGAAUAUAGUAAAAUAGGUCAUUGUAAUAUAAUAUGAUUGAAAAUAUUAUAACCUAAACAAACUCAACACUCCUUUGUAUCUCUUAUAGCCUAAACAUUCUAACAAUUAAUUUACUUGUCCAGAACUACCUGGUCCGCCAACUUAGUUGUUAGUUAGAAUUGUGUGAAAGUAACCAUACAUACAUAUAUAUAUAUAUAUAUAUAUAUAUAUAUAUAUAUCAAUUAAGCAUUAAUUUAAUAGUUGUUAUGUUUGAAUUCAUUAAUGGAUUCCUCUACAGCUGCGUUGUGGAUACUUUCUGAAUUUCGAGGCUCCCUCAUUGGUGGGGGAAAAAUGUAAAAUAAUGUACGUAUUUUAAUUUUGUGCAGUGGAACUAAAAAGGAGCGGUGAUGAAAAGAGAAAGUUGGAGAGCAAAACAAAAGAUUAUAUAUAAAUUUAUAUAGAGAAUGAUGAAUUUUAUUAAACGAAAAACAAAAUGAAAUGGUUUUCGGGAAUUUUGAGGAGGAUUAUUCCCCCAAAAUGGCUACAAGACAUAUGGGGCUGAAGAAAACAAAAAGAAAAAAAUAUAUAAAAGUGAGAAUUUCUGAAAAAGGGAAUUCUGAAACAUGCAUUUAAUUUGUUCUCACAUUUAUCAAAACGACAACGCCAAAAACAAACACGUAAGCAUGAGAUUAAGCAUCUACUCUACGCCAUGUGCUUUAUUAUAUCAAAACUAUUAUUUCAUUUUACUUCCCUAAUCUUAUUAUUAUUAUUAUUACUAAUCUACGAAGUGUUAUCUUUUAAGCAUGCUCGACAACACACUAUUAUUAUUAUUAGUCUAAAACGUAUGAAAAGCCAAAACACAUGCCGACGAUUAUUUGUUUCUUAUUGCACUAAUUAAAAUAAUUGUUAUUAAUCCGUUAGUAGUGAUUAUCAGUUGGUAAACAAUAAUUAAAGAAGUUGUUUGUACAUUCCCUUUGAGAUUCGAAUUCUCUUAUGUUUUUUUUAUUUUAUUUAUUUAAGAAAAUGAUAAACGAUCUAUGCUAACAAAUUAUUUUAGUUAGGUAAAUUUAUUUAUUAUAUAUAUAUUUUGUGUUUAGAUAAAUAUCGUGUAAGUUAUAUAAUUUUAUUAGUUUUCUUCAGUGAAAAUCAACUUGGCUCUUGUUUAGAAUUUCUUUUUCUACAAGUUAUUCAUACAUCAAUUCUGUAUAAUUGUUGAUUUUGCUAAUAUAUAUUUGAAGAAGUCUACAAGGUAAGCAUUGGUACUUUUUCAAAGACAAUUUUGUGUAAACUGAUUACUUGUAAUACUUCAGAAAUUCUAUUGAUUAAACAAGUAUUCCGUGCUAAGUUUUAUAGAAUGUUUUUUGAACAAAACCUAAAGAUGUAAAUUGCAAAUUGACAUACUUAAUGAUAAUUUUAAAAUCAUUAAUUUAAAAUUUUAAAUGACAAAACUUGACCUUUGAAGUUUAUAAUUACAAAUUGAUAUAACAAUUAGUUCAUCGAAAUACAAUAACAAAAAUACAUAUCGGACGUCAAACCGAAUUUACGAGUUUAGCUCGCAAUUAAUUGAGAAGACAUUCUAUCCUAUAGGCGUAGAAGGUUGUAACUAAUUCCCUUUAACUCCAAUACCAAGACUCAACUUCCUCAAGUGAAUGUAUAAAAGCAAGACAGACAAGAACAAAUUUGGAACAAUGAGGGUGCUAAUUUGUAUAAUUUAGCAUAAAGUGAGAUUGUGAAUGAAUGAAAUGAAGAGAGUUAGAAAUUAGAUAUUUUGAUUGAUUAAAAAUUGAUAGGCACAGAAGAUGGCAUGUGAUAAAUAAUCCAAGUUUUCUUAGUUGUUACACAGUGCAAGAUGCCGGGAAAAGAAAUCAGAAAGAAAGAAAAGAAAAAAAGAGUACAUAAUUUAUCUGUACUGCUAGAAGAUGUCAGAGAAAAAAAAAAGUAUCAUAUCUUUUAUUGCAAAUAUGACACCAAACUCUCCUCAGCUACACAAAUAUGAUCUUCAUUUUUCAAGAUUCUACAAAUCACUCUAAAAACACACACACUACAAAAACCAAAAAGAAAAAAAAAGAAGAAACAAUUAAAACCCCUAAAACCCUAAUCUCAAAAUAGUCAAAAAGGGUUAUGAUGAGCAACGGAGUAGUAGUCAAGUCAAUUUUCUUUCUGAACACGAACACGAACAAGAACAAGAACAAGGAAAAGGAAGAAGUUAAUAAUGGUUAAUUUAGCAAGGUACCCAAGCAGUAGCGAAAACGACGUCGUGGCCUUUCCACGUCAGCAGCAGGUGGUCCUCUUCCUUCUUCAAUCCCCAUCCCGCUGCAUGCUCAUCAAGCAUCGUCUUCACCUCUGAAACCGCCUCCUCCACAAACGGAACCCCUCGGAAUUUGGCGUUCACCAUCCGUUGAACCCACCGCCCCUUUGGCUCCAAUCUCUGAACUCGCUGAACCCCUUCAUGAGCAAUUACAUUCUCAAUCUUCCAACAGAUAUCCGCUUCAUACCAUUCUCUCUGUUUGCUGCUUCGAGGAAGAAACGAAUCCAUGGAGUCGUAAGGAAUCCACAGAUAGUUAAACGCCGAUCUCAAUCGCGUAACCAACUUGGUUGAGGUGAAAUCCGCAUCUUCGUCUACUAAAACCACAAUCGUUGGAUCUAAGCUACGGACUGCCUUGAGAAACAUGGAACGAAUGGAAGAGGAAGACGACGAGAUGUCGAAAUUAGGAGAUGGGUUUGGGUUUGGGUUUAAGGUUUCUUCAGGGAUGUAAUGAAGCAUCAUAUGACAAUUAAAAACGAGUGCUUCGUUAUUUUCAGGUCCGUAAAUUAAAUGUUGUACACGGAUUUGUUCGAUUAAACGAGCGAAACCGUCUGUAUGACAAGACGGGACCACUCUAAAUUCCAUAGUCACGUUUUUAGACCUUGCGAAGUUCACCAAUUUCGCACCUAAUUCGUCGUACGAAAGCUCCAGCAUUGGCGACGCCUCUUUUACGGCAACAACAGCUACAGUAGUCAGUUUCAGUAAUGGAGGGACCUCGAACCGUGUAGCAAUGGCGUCGAUUAAUGUUGGGAUUUGCAUGCAAUGCAUCAAGCUCAAAUCAACAACGUGUACCGCGGAGUAACCCUCGAUGGCGUCCAGAAUCGCAACAUUGGCAGCGGUGAAGCCGAAGCGAUGCCAAGGGGUUAAGUCCACGAAGGCGGCAAGGUCCAUGAGAGAGAAGGUAUGUGUAGUGAUGGAAGAGGAGAAUGCGGUGGUUAUUGCAGCAAGAAUCUUACAGUUGCCAGUGUUGGUGGCGCGUGUGAUGAGAGCGCGUAAGAAAGCUGAAGUUAAGCGUUGGUUGGAAUCGCCAUCAGGAGGGGCAAUGUUGUUAAGGACCCAAAGGAUUUGUUGAGCCAGAGUAGCGUCGUUGGAUUCAAUAGCAUUGGCACAAUGGACUAAUAAUUGUUCCAUACAAUUAGCAUCACCCAAGCAAGUUCCCAAAGCUUUGGAGGAACAAGGGAAUAAUCCAGGCCAUGGCCUCCUAUUUCGAAACGGACCCGUCGUGGUAGUGAUUUGGUUUUUAUUACUCAUUGAGAUAUCGGAAAAGGAAGAAGGAAUAGGAGUGGUGGCGGUGGUGGUUGGGUGGAAGCGUUGGGGUGUAUGGCUGAAUUGCAUCAUGGGGAGAGAAACCAAGCAAAAAGCGGUAAGACACACAAGGAGAAAUUAGGAAAAGGCAAAAACAAAAAAAGAAGAGAGAAGAUAUAGCCAAAAAGGAAAAGAGAGGGAAUUGAGAGACAAAGAGAAGGGAAAAAGACGAGACGAGAGGAAGAGCCUCGGGGGAAGAGAAAUUAUUAACAGAAAUUAAAAGGCCGGGAAUGGAAUGAAUUAGCAUAAAGGAAGGUCAAAAGGGAGGGGGUGGGUGUGGUCUGAAAUUGUAUGAUAUCUCAAUAUCUCUCAAAGGUGGGGGGGGAAAAUGAAAGGGGGAUUUGGUGGCAUGUGAGGAGGUAGCAGCAGCCAGCAGGAGGGAAAGGAGCCGGCCGUGGCCAGAGUUGUUUUGUCAAGAAGUGGGACUUGGGAAUUUGUCAUUUUAUUGGCACACAACAUGGAGGUUUUGUAUGGUGGAGUUUGGAACCACUUAUACUUUACCUUUUUGGCUCACGGGUCAUUCAUAAAUUCAAAACAUAUAUGCAUAUAUAUCAAUCACUCACAUCAUCACCAAAUCAUUUUUAUCCACUUCUUUUCCCUUUUACUCUCUCUUUUUUGUGUUUCAUCAUUAUUCAAGGAAUUUAAUUGUUACACUCUUUUUUUGGGUUCUAUUCUUAGUACUACACUCCUCUGUCUUUUCACAUUUUAACUCCUUCCAUAAUGUAAGAGAUAAAUCUAAUUAAAUUAAAAAAAUAUUACCUCAAAUAAUAAUAUCAACCUUAAAUUAUUUAUAUUUUAGUUCCAUCUAACAUUUGAUAUCAUUUACUCAGAAUUAUGAAUCUAUCACAUUUUAUUGAUAUAAUCACAAUAGCUUUUUCACUUGAGUAACAUUGCGAUAAUAAUAAUAAAUGUAAUAGUAAUUAUGACAUGUUCAUAAUUUUUCAUAUUAACGAUAUUCUGUUAUGAUAAAAAUAAUAAGGGUAUUGUGUCUGUAAUGUGAAUUUUAACCACAAUUAGAUUGGGUGUCUUUUUAUUAUUCCAUAUAAUUGGAGGCAUACUCCAUAGUUCAUUACACUUACUGAACAUAUUAAACUAAAGCACUAUAUAUACGUCCACUUUUAUAUUACCAUGAAUGAAUUACUUUUUACCAAGGGUAAAGUUGUUGCAAGUGAAUGAAUGAAAAUAGAAGAUAAAAAGAAAGGGAAGGAGGUUGAAGUCAUAGACUAACAUGGAGUUUUGGGUGAAAGCCAAAAAAAGAGAAAUAAUAUUUAGAAGAAAGAGAAAAAGAAAAGAAAAAGGUGGGUGGGCAGAAGUUUUGCAGUGUUUUGAAUUUGUGUGUAUGUAUGUGUAAAGUAAUUUAGAAGGAGUGGGAAAAUUGAUUGGUCAUAUUAUGGGAUGCACCGUUCUCAAGGUGAUAUAUGCUUUUUGAUGUUCAACAUCUUUCAAUCAAUUUUCCUUUUCAAAUUAAAAUGUUGAAUUUAUAUAUAUAUAUCUAUAUUGAAUUGAAGAUCUUAUCGGGGCCAGGGGACCAUUUAUGGAUAUUCAGAGGAAAUGUAUGAAGGUGACAUGUUAGUUAAAAAGAAUAAAUAUUGGAAACAAUGCAUAUAUAUGUAUAUAUAUAUGUAUCUAUAUCCUCUCUGUGUCAUCCCCUCUAAACAAAAGAUAAAAAUAACAUCACAAAAUAGAGAGAAAUGAGAAAAGUGAUAAUGAGAGUAAGUGUUGGUAUUAUUAGAACAAAACAAAUUUGGUAACCAGUACAAUUAUGUGUUGUCACAUCUAAACUAGAGACAGAGAGACAUAAAGAAAGAGGCGUUUUUCUAGUAUAAUUAUGAGUUUUGAAAUAUAUGAUUUUGUGCUUUUCAAACCAUUUCAUCUUCUAACAUCAUCUUUUUUUAUAUAUAUAUAUACCUCCUAAAUCCCUUACUAAAUAUGAUGUUGAUUAUUUCUUUUUUUUUUUUUCUAGUUAGGAAUAAUAAUUUUAACGAGCUUGGAUAGUACGAUAUUAUCUACUUGAAUCGGAGUACAUGAACUAUUGUUUAACCCAAAUUUUCUUAUAUGAGAUAGAAGAGAUUUUGUACCCAAAAUCUUAAGACAAAAUUAAUUAUAUAUCACUAACACAUUGAUCCCAUUUCUAACACAUUUGUAUUUGAAUCAAAGUUAGUUAUCAAUAUUUAGCACUAAUCUUGUGCCAUGCAUUACGUUUCCUAUCAUGACCAAUAUGUGUGCAUAUGAAGCUAGAAGUCAAAGUAUAUACCAUAAUGUAAGUGUUGUGAUCAUCAAUGCAUGUACAAAGGAAGUUAAAUUUAUAGUUAAGGAAAAGUCUUUGAUGACAGAUUUCAUUUUGGGAUCUAUUGUCAUAAGUGUGAUUAGUAAGGUAUAACUUGAGACAAGUGUGAUGAUCCCCUAACUCCCAUUUUCAUUUUUAAUGCUCUAACUCACAAUAUAUAAAGUAUCAAUUAACAUUUUUUUUGAGAAAAAAAUAUGAAGAAUUAAAAUACUAAAGCUAGUUUUUCAUGUUGAUUUUUAAGUUCCAUUUAAUUAUUACAAAAUGUCUUUCAAACACACUAACUCAUUAAAGGGUGAAAACAUAUAUUGAGACUAAAUAUUUAGGCAUGUGACAUUGUGUGGUGAUCUUUUAAUUUAAUACGUUACCAUGUUGGAGAGGAUAGGGAUCAUAUAUCCCUCUCUUUGGACCCCUAACCCCACACCAAAUAGACCAUUCACUACUUUUCCUUACCUCAUCAUCAAUUGGUAAAACUACUUUAUGCUGUUUUAUGUUUAACCCAUUUCAGUUUUUUACAUACUUUAUUAUUUUACAUCUUCUUCCCCACAUCUUUUCUAUCUGAUCCUUAUAAUUUGCAUAUGAAACCACAAAAAUAUAGUUACACAGGAUUAUACUUUUGUUUUUUAAAUCAUAACAAUGGUUUCUAGAUUUUGAAAAAGGGUUCAAAUAACGUAAAUAGUUAGAUAUAUAAAUAUUGCACAAAAAAAAAAGGGUUUAAUUAAACAAGUCAUGGCCUGUAAAUGGAGGAAGUCAUCAUACUAUAACAUAUUAGGGGUCAUCAUACUGUAACAUAUUAGGGGUUAGCAUGGGAGAAGAUAAUUUGACAAUUUAGUUGAGAUAUACACGUAUAUCUAAUUAUUUCUACUCUCGUACGUCACAAUAAAAAAAAGUUAGUCUACAAUCAUUUAGAUAUAUACGAGUGUGCAUGCUCUUUGACAUUGAACAACAUGACAUUCAUAUGCCAUCCCCUCCUACUCAAACAAGCCAAAACCUACCUUGCGAACUAAUAAUGAGACCCAAUAAACUAGCUCUAAAGAUCAAUCCAAAUUUUUUUGGCAUUGUUUUUGUCUCCAUUCACAUACGUUAUUAUAUAAACAAAAAUUAUCAAAAGGUACCGGAUAAAACAUUUUAUUAUUUAAACAGAAAUUUUCUAAUUACAAGACAGUUGUAUCUUUAUAGUUAGAUAGUUUACAUUACAAACUUCUCCAAAACAUGGAUUCAACAAAACUCUCGUAUAUACUUGGUUGUUCAAAAUCACAAAUAACAUAUUCAAGAUACACCAAUAGAGACAUUGAUGAGCCAAACUAGCCUCUUUAGUUUAACAUUCAAAUUUUCAUAUAUAAUUUGAUCACCAAAAAGUGAAAGUGUAUCGGGUUAGUAUACAUAGUAGUGGUAGUGAUACAUAUUAAGCAUUUUAACCAUGGUUGCAUUUCUCUCAUUACAGUAUGGUUUGGAUUGUAUUCAUUGAUCAACUCCUCCUGUACUGCUAACUCAGUUGUCACAACGCUACACGAUAUGGAUACCUUCAUUCAUUAGUCAUUGCUCUAAGAUUUGAGAUUUUAUGUGUAAAACAUACCUACAGUUUCAAACAAUCUCUAUAAAACCCUAAGAAAAAGAUGUUAUGAGUUAAAUGGUUUAAUUAAUAUAUACAGUUCAAAUUGGAGGCUCCCCCAUUGGUGGAGGAAAAAGGAGAGAGAGGAAUAUAUUGGAGGCGACUACGAGGCGAGGCGUUAUAUAUAUAUAUAUAUAUACAGUUUCAUGCAGUGGAAAAACAAGUGCGCUGCCGAUGAUAUGGAAAAGACCACAAAAGAGAAGAAUCUAAGGCAAAGAAAAGCAUGCAAAGAUAUGAAGACCAAAAACACAACAUUUAUAUAUAUUUUCAUGGAGAUUGAUGAAUAUGUAUUAGUUUUUAUUCAUUCCAUUACUGUUUUUUCUUCUUCUUAAUUUUCGAGAAUUUUGAGGAGGAUUCCCCAAAUGACUAGAAGACAUAGGUGUUGAAGCAAAAACAACCCCUCUCCCUGCACAAUUCCAUUUGUUGUUUUUUUUAUAUAUAUAAAUAAAUAAAUAAAGAAUAAUAAUAAUUGAAAAGAAAAUAGAAAAAAAGUGAAAAAAAUCAGAGAAAGGGAAUUCAGAAACAUGCAUUUAAUUUGUUGUCACCUUUAUCAAAAGAUUCAAAACGACAACGCUGAAAACAAACACGUAAGCAUCUACGACAUGUGCUUUAUUAUUCAAAACUAUCAUCCUUUUUUAUUUAAUCUACAAAUUAACUCUAAUUAUCUCUUAAGCUCCAGUGGACAACACAUUCACAUUAUUAAUUAUUGUAGAAAGUUGCCCAAAACAUAUGGAAAGCCAAAACACAUGCCGACGAUUAUUUGUUUGUUAUUGCACUAAUUAAUCAAACCCCAACUAUAAAUAUAAUCUCUCUUCUUUAUCCUUUACUAAUGAUUCAGUUGGUUCAACUAUAUAAAAAAGAAAACUUGUUUGGGAAAUUCUGUUUAAGAUUCGAAUUCCCCUUUAUUUGGAUAUAGUUUAUCAACUAGUACAAUGUUUGUAUUACAAAUUUUGAGGUUUGAGGCGUUUGAUUUCUUCGUCCAUGUAUUUGCACCAAGAAAUUUUGAUAUUUUUCUUUUAAAGAAAGAUAUAACAUAUAUAUAGUUGUUUAGACUUUUUGAUAGUUAUGUGAUUUUUUUUAUUUGCUUUAAAAAAUAAUUGAUAAAUAUUACUCAAACUCUCUAUGCUCUAUUAUCCACUUUACUAAUUAUCUUUCACAAAUCAGACUAAAUUUGGAAUUAAAAGAAAAAAUGCUUCCAAAAACCUGUUUUUCCAUAAUUUGGACCGAGGAACUCUGGUGUUUCUUGGACAACCAUAAUUAUUAUUAUUUAUUUAUAACAAUUUAAAAUUUUUAAUUACAAAAUUAUUCCUUGAUCAAAUAAUUAAUUAUAUGUCUACUACAAUAAUAUUUCCCAAAGAGUAUACACAGUGAUACACAGUUACAAAAAGUUGAAAAUUUAAAUACAACAUACAAUGUAGUAAUCGAUAAAACUCCAAAAUUUUAAAGGGUGUGAACUAAUUUAUUUAUAUAGUGAGUCACUCCAUAUAAAAGGUAGGAGUUUUAAAUAGCAUAAGUCCAAGUUAAAUUGAAGAUAAACUCCCCAAUGACAAUGAUAUAUAUUAUAAUUUUAUAAUUGAAUUUAAGAGCACCCAUUUGAAUUGAUUAUUGAUGGGAAAAUUAUGUUAGAUAAUUGAGUAGGGAAAUCAAGUAAAAUUAAAAUAAUUAGAAAGAUAUAGACCUAAUCCAAUGUCCUUAUAUGUGAGUUGGAAUAGAAAAUUAAAGGCUGUUUAAACCAUUGUAUAGGUGUUGGAAUGGGUCAAACCUUCAACUAAUAUAGUAAUUUGUGAUAAUCUUUCAAUGCAUUUUUCCCCCAUAUUGCGCAGCCUUAAAAAAUACAUUAUUCUUUUCAUUAUGUUGUUGCCUUUCUUGUCUUCUUCUUGUCGAGUUUGGAACGUCGCCACAAUUAGAAUAAAAUGAAGAGAUUGUUACUUUUUGUCUCCUUCUCUAAACCUUUUCCUUUGGAAUUAGUAAAUAGGGUUUUUGCAUAAAAACAAUUUUGAUAUAUAAACGACGGAGACUAAAUUGGGCCAAGGCCCACAUAAAUUUUUCAAAAGGGAAAUGGUCCAUUAAGUCCAAUCUCUUGACCCAGUGGGCCCAACAGGCACCGGUCAGAUUUCCAUUCACCGCAAAGAGCGGGAGGUUGUCGUUGCUCUGUGAGCCAGCCUGACGCAUUCCCCUCCGCUUUAAAGGCUGUGCCUUCUGGGCUUACGCCCAAACCAUACAGCCCAUCUCCUUGCUUGAAAGGACUGUCCAGAAUGAAGCCCUAUUAGACCCGGCCAAGAAAUAUAGGCUCAUGUUCCAUUUUCUUAUAUGCCCUCCCUCGAGUUACAAGCUUACGGAACAAAGCUCGGC